ACCAAUGCUUGUUGGAGAGCAUGUGGGUUUUGAUCAUGCGUAUUCAAUCAGAAGAAUGUGGCUUUAAUCUAGGCGUGCGUUUUGCUCCUGGCAUGUUUUCACAAUGUCAUUUUCACAAUGCUACGUGAUAAUAACAGAGAACUAAAGCCUGUUUUUUUUAAAAAAAAGGUAAGUUAGCAUUGUGCAGCGGCAUGACUAGGCCUCUACGGUGUGGAACGCGUGGGGUAAGCAGCAACUAAGUCUGGCGGCACGGUGUGGAGCAACUGCUGCUGGUCAGCACGUGGACGUGGAAAUGAAGGCCAGUCGUUAAAGGUGUAUGAAGCUGGAUGAUGUGUGUAAAAAUGCACAGUAAGAUGGAUGAAGUCGUGAUGUGAUGCUAUGACCGCUGCGUGUGAGAGGGCUGAAUAAAGCAAAUUUUAACCAUG